rnacentral:lncRNA from 1 species
CACCCCCCACUUGAGAUAAUGGUACAUUCCAGGCGUAGGAGCAUAGAGGAAGUAGCCUUUUCAAGUGUGGAGGGUUUGUUUGACAAUGUGCAGUUUGUUUGCUGAGGGAACAAGUCUGACUUGCUUGAGAUAAUUAUGCCCUGUACAAAAACAUGCGGAAAGUAACACCGCAUGACUGAGCACUUUAGCCCUAGACAAGACUGCAACUUCUUUCUGUAAGCUUCCGGGGUUGUAAUGCCGCUGGCAACAGUUUCGAAAGAGAUUCCCCUUGUUCUGUUUGUUUAUUUAUUUAUUUAUUUAUUCAAUUUAUACCCCGCGCAUCUAGACUGAAGUCUACUCUGGGCGGCUUUUCUUAUUGCUUUUCUUUGAGAAAAGCUGGUAUGCAGGCAAACUAAAAGAUCUGGCAGGUGCUCCUAAACAUUUGCCUUUCCUGUGAAGAAGGGGAGCUCUCUCCUUGUUUCGAUGAGUAUGGCCCUCCCUUGUUCCUCCUGCUGCUGCUGCUGUCCCUGGAUCUCAUUUCCUUCGAGAGAGAGAGAACCUCUCAAUACACAGUGGUCAAGCCAAUCUCAUCAAGGCAUCGAAAGGGCUCACAUUAACAAAGAGAAACCCCUCAAAAUGAAACGGGUCAACAUGCCUAAGAUUGACACCCUGUUCACCAACAUUGCAGAGACAUUUAACAAGCAGCAAGGUGAUUGCUUGGCUCUCCGGGAAGCCAUCCAGGGCCUGAAAGAGACCUUUUGCUGCUCACCUGCAAGCAGUCUGUCUGUAUGCAUAGAGAAGAUACAGCAGGAGCACCGUGCUUGCAAUGUGCAGGUGCAGAUGGAGGGAUACAGAUUCUGGCUGGCCAUGAGAGAGAAGGACGUUCCUGAGAAACUGAAGUGGGCUCAGCAGCAGGUGGGGGAACUGAACCGUGCCACCUUAGGAGUCAUCAGUGUAGAAACUAAACUCCAGGAAAUGAUCCAGUCUGUGCUUCAAAGCCAGGACAAGUUGAUGGAGAAAGUAAAAGCUGCAAAUCCUGAAUACCUAGACCAGAUCCGGGUCGAGGGAAACCUGCAAGAAAACAUACAGGAAAUGUGUUUGGCUCAACAGUUCUUGAAGCAGUAUACAGAAGAAGCCAAAAAUGUCCUUAAAGAAAUGUCCAACUCAGUAGGUUUUACCUUGUAAAAAGGGAUGAAGAUGAACAUGUUUUAAGGGUGCUUUCUACAGUGAUGAAUUAAGGCACUAGUGACAGAAGGCUCUUUAGGUUAUAGUUUUACUGCACAGAUUACACAGAAAUUGAACCUGACUGUAAGAUUUCUGUAAGUGUAAAGUGAUACAACCACAUGCCGGAAAAGUAGACAAAUUAUUAUCAUGUGACAAAUAGACUUCAGUGGUCUAUAAGUGGCAAGAAUUCAGUGCUAUUGCUAUUAGGUGGCUGCCAUUUUUCUCUUUAUACUGUAUCUGUCUUUAAAAUGAAGAAGAUAGCUACAGACUUUGUUUUCCUCUGAAUUCUUCUGAAUUCAUAAAGGACAGCCAACCCUAUCUUACUGGGCCAAUGAGAACACUCGCCAGAGUGCCAGCUUGGAAAAGGAGUAGUUUGUGCCCAGGAGGUGUGAUAAAAAGAAGUUUGUUCUCAUUGUUAUCUUGAGUCUAAUUCAGCAUCUCAUUUCUAAAAACAUGUCUGGGUAAGACAGGCCAAAUAAAAGCUUGAACAUAAUGCA